GAUGAACGCUGGCGGCGUGCCUAAUACAUGCAAGUCGAGCGAACAGACGAGGAGCUUGCUCCUCUGACGUUAGCGGCGGACGGGUGAGUAACACGUGGAUAAACUACCUAUAAGACUGGGAUAACUUCGGGAAACCGGAGCUAAUGCCGGAUAAUAUAUUGAACCGCAUGGUUCAAUAGUGAAAGACGGUUUUGCUGUCACUUAUCGAUGGAUCCGCGCCGCAUUAGCUAGUUGGUAAGGUAACGGCUUACCAAGGCAACGAUGCGUAGCCGACCUGAGAGGGUGAUCGGCCACACUGGAACUGAGACACGGUCCAGACUCCUACGGGAGGCAGCAGUAGGGAAUCUUCCGCAAUGGGCGAAAGCCUGACGGAGCAACGCCGCGUGAGUGAUGAAGGUCUUCGGAUCGUAAAACUCUGUUAUUAGGGAAGAACAAAUGUGUAAGUAACUAUGCACGUCUUGACGGUACCUAAUCAGAAAGCCACGGCUAACUACGUG
rnacentral:rRNA from 1 species